AGCUUACCAUGCAAGUCGAACGGGGCAUCUUAUUUCGGUAAGAUGCCAAGUGGCGAACGGGUGAGUAACACGUGGGCAACCUGCCCUUCAGACGGGGACAACAUUCCGAAAGGAGUGCUAAUACCGGAUACGCCCGCACCUACGCAUGUAGGUGCGGGGAAAGGAUGGCCUCUAUUUAUAAGCUAUCGCUGAAGGAUGGGCCUGCGUCCGAUUAGCUAGUUGGUGAGGUAACGGCCCACCAAGGCGAUGAUCGGUAGCCGGUCUGAGAGGAUGAACGGCCACAUUGGGACUGAGACACGGCCCAGACUCCUACGGGAGGCAGCAGUGGGGAAUCUUCCACAAUGGACGAAAGUCUGAUGGAGCAACGCCGCGUGAGCGAUGAAGGAUUUCGGUCUGUAAAACUCUGUUGUUCAUGACGAACGUUUCCUAGGUGAAUAAUCUAGGGGAGUGACGGUAGUGAACGAGGAAGCCACGGCUAACUACGUGCCAGCAGCCGCGGUAAUACGUAGGUGGCGAGCGUUGUCCGGAAUUAUUGGGCGUAAAGAGCAUGUAGGCGGCUUUUU
rnacentral:rRNA from 1 species